rnacentral:misc_RNA from 1 species
GAACUGCGAUAAGCAAUGCGAAUUGCAGAAUUCCGCGAGUCAUCAGAUCUUUGAACGCAACUGGCGCUGAGGGGCUAUCCUCUCAGCAUGCUUGUUUCAGUGUGUUUGUUUAAAAAAUCACACAGCUAAAUGCAAUUGAAGGGCGGGUUUUCAAGGAUUAACUUUCUUAAAACCAACUUUCUCUUGUUAAAAACGAGAGACGGGCUGGCAGCUGCCUUUAAGCCCAAUGAAGCGGUCACCCUGAAAAGAGUGAACUCAUUGGAAAUUGCUUAAGCAGAUUUGCCUGAAAUAAAUUGCCUUCUCAAAAAAAUUAUAAAUAAAUAAUCUCCAAUCAGCACCUGAGAUCAAGCAAGAUUACCCGCUGAACUUAA